rnacentral:rRNA from 1 species
AAACCAGGCCACAAGUUCUGCCCAGCCUUUCUCCGGGCUUCUAAGCAGCGUCUGGCCAUGGUUGCUGCUGCGAUCCAGCGGCGCCGGUGGCAAUGUGCAUGGCAGGCCGCUCAGCCGGUCUUAUGCGCUGAGUUGCUGCGCGCGGAUCGGCGGCUUUGCUGAGCUGUGCGCGGCAGCUUGAAAAUGUGCAGAGGAGCCUGGCUGUGGCUUGCUCAGCGCUGCAGGCCUUAACUUGCCGCUGCCUCAUAGCUUGGCUGCUGCGCGCUUGCGGCAGCUAAGAAUAAGGCGGCGGGCCAAGUGCUCAAGCAGG